AUACGUAGGUGGCAAGCGUUAUCCGGAAUUAUUGGGCGUAAAGAGUGAGCAGGCGGUUAAUUAAGUCUGAGGUUAAAGCGUGGGGCUCAACCCCAUAAAGCCUUGGAAACUGAUUGACUAGAGGACGGGAGAAGUGAAGGGAACUCCAAUUGUAACGGUGAAAUGCGUAGAUAUAUGGAAGAACACCAGUGGGGAAGGCGCUUCACUAGCCCGAAACUGACGCUCAGUCACGAAAGCGUGGGUAGCAAAUAGGAUUAGAUACCCUAGUAGUCCACGCUGUAAACGAUGACAACUAAAUAUUGCCGCGAGGCAGUGUUGAAGCUAACGCAUUAAGUUGUCCGCCUGGGGAGUACGGUCGCAAGACUGAAACUUAAAGGAAUUGACGGGG
rnacentral:rRNA from 1 species